rnacentral:lncRNA from 1 species
AUUCUCACAAAACUCAUCAUUUUUAGCGAUUUCUUAUAUUCUUAAUACCAGAUAUAUAUAUUAAACAUCAGUACUUUAAUAACAUGACUAAAGAAUAAGAAUAUGUUGAUAUCAAAGAGUAAGCACUCCCAUUUACUCACCAUUACCAAAGGCAAUUAUAUAAAGCUUUCAGCUUUGGCGCCAAUUGCUAAAUUUAAAUGUACUUUUGUCUCUACAAAUCUUAUUCUAAUAAAAUGUAAAAAUCAUACAGUAACAUUCACAAAGAGCAGCAAACAAUGCAAAAACAUUUAGAAAACAAAUGAUUAAAGAUAUUAGGACUUUAGCUCUGACACAUAGCCAAUAGAUCCCUAAUCUGUUACCUGUGUUAGCCUAGCAUGACUUAUCAAAAUAUGAAUCAAGAGUUUCUAGGAUGUGAAUGAGUCGGACACGACUGAGCG